rnacentral:rRNA from 1 species
GAUGAACGCUGGCGGCGUGCCUAAUACAUGCAAGUCGAGCGAACAGACGAGGAGCUUGCUCCUCUGACGUUAGCGGCGGACGGGUGAGUAACACGUGGAUAACCUACCUAUAAGACUGGGAUAACUUCGGGAAACCGGAGCUAAUACCGGAUAAUAUAUUUAACCGCAUGGUUCAAUAGUGAAAGACGGUUUUGCUGUCACUUAUAGAUGUAUCGCCGCCGCAUUAGCUAGUUGGUAAGGUAACGGCUUACCAAGGCAACGAUGCGUAGCCGACCUGAGAGGGUGAUCGGCCACACUGGAACUGAGACACGGUCCAGACUCCUACGGGAGGCAGCAGUAGGGAAUCUUCCGCAAUGGGCGAAAGCCUGACGGAGCAACGCCGCGUGAAUGAUGAAGGUCUUCGGAUCGUAAAACUCUGUUAUUAGGGAAGAACAAAUGCGUAAGUAACUAUGCACGUCUUGACGGUACCUAAUCAGAAAGCCACGGCUAACUACGUG